rnacentral:rRNA from 1 species
GACGAACGCUGGCGGCGUGCUUAACACAUGCAAGUCGAGCGGUAAGGCCCUUUCGGGGGUACACGAGCGGCGAACGGGUGAGUAACACGUGGGUGACCUGCCCUUACGCUCUGGGAUAAGCCUGGGAAACUAGGGUCUAAUACCGGAUAUGACUCCAUGACGCAUGUUGUGGGGUGGGAAAGCCUUGUGCGGCUAGGGAUGGGCCCGCGGCCUAUCAGCUUGUUGGUGGGGUGAUGGCCUACCAAGGCGACGACGGGUAGCCGGCCUGAGAGGGCGACCGGCCACACUGGGGACUGGGACACGGCCCAGACUCCUACGGGAGGCAGCAGUGGGGAAUCUUGCGCAAUGGGCGAAAGCCUGACGCAGCGACGCCGCGUGAGGGAUGACGGCCUU